rnacentral:lncRNA from 1 species
AAAUACCAAGAUUCGGAUCUUGAACAACAGGAGGAUUGUGAGUAAAGGUGACCUCUCAGACCCUAUCAAAGUUGCCAGUGGAGGUUAACCCCAUAGAAUUUUAGUUUUAUUUUUAUUUCUGUUAUUUUAACUUAUUUAAAAAUGACAUUCCCGUAAUCUUAUUUAGCAUCAUGAUCUAUUGUAUAAGAAAUAUAAACCCCUAAUUAUUAUUUGCUUCUGCCAUUACAAUAUAUAUUCUUUUUUCUUAAGGUUUUAGGCCUUUAUGUUGGUAUCAGAGCCGCGUUUCUUAGAACUAUUCAUUACACAGAGAUUUAAAAACACUAGAAUAUAACCUGACACUUAACCCUCUCUUGUGAAAUGUAGGUACAAAGAUAUGAAGAGAGGGAGACACUCAAUAAACCAAGCAGCCCAAGAUGCAUCGAUUCGAGAGGAUGUUGAUCGACUCUUUAAGAUGCUGGAGAGACUUAUCUCCGCCCAGCAAACCAGAAAAAUAAGGAGGGAGCUGUCUGACCCUCCACCUCUACCACAGUUUGAGCCACCCCUACAAUGAGAAGAUCUAGUGCCACCCCGAUACAGUCCUACUCCUCUACCAUAUUAUCUGGUAUCGCCACAGUACAUUCUGGUGCCCCCACCAUAUAACUAGGAGCCACCACAAGGCCACUCGACCCUUCCUCAGCAUAAUCUAGUCCCUCUUCCACGAGACCCAGUUUUACCCAUGAUAGACCCAAGCUACAUUAAAAGGUACAAGAGACUAAAUUCAUUUAUCUUUGCAGGGGCAUCCUCAUUCGAAGAGGUUGAUUAUUGAUUAAUAGAGACAAAGAAGGUAUUCGUAACUCUUGGGGUGGUUCUCGAAUAGAAG